rnacentral:rRNA from 1 species
GACGAACGCUGGCGGCGUGCUUAACACAUGCAAGUCGAACGGUAAGGCCCUUCGGGGUACACGAGUGGCGAACGGGUGAGUAACACGUGGGUGAUCUGCCCUGCACUUCGGGAUAAGCCUGGGCAACUGGGUCUAAUACCGGAUAGGACCCUGGGAUGCAUGUCCUGGGGUGGAAAGCUUUUGCGGUGUGGGAUGGGCCCGGGGCCUAUCAGCUUGUUGGUGGGGUGGUGGCCUACCAAGGCGACGACGGGUAGCCGGCCUGAGAGGGUGACCGGCCACACUGGGACUGAGAUACGGCCCAGACUCCUACGGGAGGCAGCAGUGGGGAAUAUUGCACAAUGGGCGCAAGCCUGAUGCAGCGACGCCGCGUGAGGGAUGACGGCCUUCGGGUUGUAAGCCUCUUUCAGCACCGACGAAGCGCAAGUGACGGUAGGUGCAGAAGAAGGACCGGCCAACUACGUGCCAGCAGCCGCGGUAA